CAGCAGCCGCGGUAAUACGUAGGUGGCAAGCGUUGUCCGGAAUUAUUGGACGUAAAGCGCGCGCAGGUGGUUUAAUAAGUCUGAUGUGAAAGCCCACGGCUCAACCGUGGAGGGUCAUUGGAAACUGUUAAACUUGAGUGCAGGAGAGAAAAGUGGAAUUCCUAGUGUAGCGGUGAAAUGCGUAGAGAUUAGGAGGAACACCAGUGGCGAAGGCGGCUUUUUGGCCUGUAACUGACACUGAGGCGCGAAAGCGUGGGGAGCAAACAGGAUUAGAUACCCCAGUAUCCCUGUCUCUUAUACA
rnacentral:rRNA from 1 species